rnacentral:rRNA from 1 species
GAUGAACGCUGGCGGCGUGCCUAAUACAUGCAAGUCGAGCGAACAGACGAGGAGCUUGCUCCUCUGACGUUAGCGGCGGACGGGUGAGUAACACGUGGAUACCUACCUAUAAGACUGGGAUAACUUCGGGAAACCGGAGCUAAUACCGGAUAAUAUAUUGAACCGCAUGGUUCAAUAGUGAAAGACGGUUUUGCUGUCACUUAUAGAUGGAUCCGCGCCGCAUUAGCUAGUUGGUAAGGUAACGGCUUACCAAGGCAACGAUGCGUAGCCGACCUGAGAGGGUGAUCGGCCACACUGGAACUGAGACACGGUCCAGACUCCUACGGGAGGCAGCAGUAGGGAAUCUUCCGCAAUGGGCGAAAGCCUGACGGAGCAACGCCGCGUGAGUGAUGAAGGUCUUCGUAUCGUAAAACUCUGUUAUUAGGGAAGAACAAAUGUGUAAGUAACUAUGCACGUCUUGACGGUACCUAAUCAGAAAGCCACGGCUAACUACGUG